GACGAACGCUGGCGGCGUGCUUAACACAUGCAAGUCGAACGGAAAGGCCCUGCUUUUGUGGGGUGCUCGAGUGGCGAACGGGUGAGUAACACGUGAGUAACCUGCCCUUGACUUUGGGAUAACUUCAGGAAACUGGGGCUAAUACCGGAUAGGAGCUCCUGCUGCAUGGUGGGGGUUGGAAAGUUUCGGCGGUUGGGGAUGGACUCGCGGCUUAUCAGCUUGUUGGUGGGGUAGUGGCUUACCAAGGCUUUGACGGGUAGCCGGCCUGAGAGGGUGACCGGCCACAUUGGGACUGAGAUACGGCCCAGACUCCUACGGGAGGCAGCAGUGGGGAACAUUGCACAAUGGGCGGAAGCCUGAUGCAGCAACGCCGCAUGCGGGAUGACGGCCUUCGGGUUGUAAACCGCUUUCGCCUGUGACGAAGCGUGAGUGACGGUAAUGGGUAAAGAAGCACCGGCUAACUACGUG
rnacentral:rRNA from 1 species